rnacentral:lncRNA from 1 species
UUUAAGCCCUUAUUUAACAAGCCAAGGAAAAAAGACUUUUUUGUAUUGAAAACUAAGAGCAUCUUUCAGACUAUAGCAUGCUCAGCCUUAAAAAUUUUGGUAUAUCUAAUUGUAUUGGUUUUAUGUAAAUUAACUUGAAUGAGAACAGUUUGUAUGAAGUUCUGUAAAAAUAAGUUGUGAUUUGGUAAAAUAAGUGGAUUACAGAUCUGUUCGAUAUCUUUUGGAUUUUUAUAUAGCCAUUAGGGGGGCCCGCACAUGAUCUGACACCCCUCUGCUCUGAUAUCUAACACCUAACUUUGCUCACUCAGGGUCAACUACAAAUGACCUUUCUUUUCCUGGAGAACUGCACACUUGUUCAUAUCUCAGAGCCUCUGCACUUUUCUUCUUGCUGCUGUGUUCUUUUCCUAUGUCUUUAAAGUCUUCACUCAACACCUUCUCCAGAAGGCGUCCUCCUCCUCCUGCAACUCCCAAGUGCCCUUAAUCUGCUUUAUUUUUCACUAUCACAUUUGCCACUUUCCGGUGUCCUUAUUUAUUUUAUUUGUUCCAUCCUACCUCUAACAGAAGGUAAAUUCCAUUAAGAUAAACUUUAUUAUCUGUUUUAUUCACUGCUAUGCUCCUAUUGCUAGAAUAUUGUAUGUACUCAGUACAUCUUUGAUGGUUGAGUAAAUGAGAUAGGUAAGAUAAAUUUGAUGAAACUAACUGUAAGUAAAUGGAAAGGAGAAAAAUGCCUGUGAGCUAAAGGUGUUGGAGGAGACUGUAGCACAGCUUGAAGUUUGGCCUGUUCUUAGUAAAAAGCCAGGCAGGGGAGGAGGAGGGAGCCAUGGCCUGUCAUGGGAAUGGAGUAUAUAUAGAGUUCUGGUGUUUGUAGACAGUGGUGACCCCCAUGUGAUGGACAUCAGAUUCUGUGUUGGGAAAUGAAGUAGGCCAGAGAGAGGCAGUCUGGCUAUGAGGAUUCUCUAAAGCCCCACAUGUAUGAUUAACACACCUGGUCUUUUUUUUUUUUUAAGAGAGAGAAUUUUUUUAAUGUUUAUUUUUUUAGUUUUCGGUGGACACAACAUCUUUGUUUGUUUGUGGUGCUCAGGAUCGAACCCUGGCCACAUCCCCAGCCCCAACACACCUGGUCCUUAAAGGGCUUCUGCUUUAUGUGUUUGAAAUUUUCCUAGUCCACAGAUAAAGAUAAAAAGGAAAGAGAAGGGCUGAGAUUGUGGCUCAGUGGUAGAGCAUUUGCCUCGUACAUAUGGGUCACUG